AUUGAACGCUGGCGGCAUGCUUUACACAUGCAAGUCGAACGGUAACAGGGAGCUUGCUCCGCUGACGAGUGGCGAACGGGUGAGUAAUGCGUCGGAACGUGCCGAGUAGUGGGGGAUAACGCAUCGAAAGGUGUGCUAAUACCGCAUACGAACUGAGGUUGAAAGUGGGGGACCUUCGGGCCUCACGCUAUUCGAGCGGCCGACGUCUGAUUAGCUAGUUGGUGAGGUAAAGGCUCACCAAGGCGACGAUCAGUAGCGGGUCUGAGAGGAUGGUCCGCCACACUGGGACUGAGACACGGCCCAGACUCCUACGGGAGGCAGCAGUGGGGAAUUUUGGACAAUGGGCGCAAGCCUGAUCCAGCCAUGCCGCGUGUCUGAAGAAGGCCUUCGGGUUGUAAAGGACUUUUGUCCGGGAGCAAAUACCCAGUGCUAAUAACGCUGGGGGCUGAGAGUACCGGAAGAAUAAGCACCGGCUAACUACGUGCCAGCCGCCGCAGUAAUAC
rnacentral:rRNA from 1 species